rnacentral:rRNA from 1 species
AAGGUGCCCCGUACAGUUUGAUCCCCGUUGGAAACGGCGGCUAAUACCGGAUACGACCACCUUCCGCAUGGUUGGUGGUGGAAAGUUUUUGCGGUUGGGGAGGGGCCCGCGGCCUAUCAGCUUGUUGGUGCGGUAGUGGCGCACCAAGGCUUUGACGGGUAGCCGGCCUGAGAGGGCGGUCGGUCACAUUGGGACUGAGAUACGGCCCAGACUCCUACGGGAGGCAGCAGUGGGGAAUUUUGCACAAUGGGCGCAAGCCUGAUGCAGCGACGCCGCGUGAGGGAUGACGGCUUUCGGGUUGUAAACCUCUUUUAUCCACCACGAAGGCCAGGUAUUCGCCUGGUUGACGGUAGUGGUUGAAUAAGCGCCGGCUAACUACGUGCCAAGCAGCCGCGGUAAGACGUAGGGCGCGAGCGUUGUCCGGAUUUAUUGGGCGUAAAGGGCUCGUAGGCGGUUGAUUGCGUCCGCCGUGAAAGGCCUCGGCUUAACCGGGGUUUUGCGGUGGAUACGGGUCGACUUGAGGCAAUUAGGGGAGAUCGGAAUUCUACGUGUAGCGGUGAAAUGCGCAGAUAUGUGGAGGAACACCGGUGGCGAAGGCGGAUCUCUGGGAUUGUUCUGACGCUGAGGAGCGAAAGCGUGGGGAGCGAACAGGAUUAGAUACCCUGGUAGUCCAUGCUGUAAACGGUGGGCGCUAGGGUGUGGGGUCACGGUUGGUUGAUUCUGUGCCGUAGCUAACGCAUUAAGCGCCCCGCCUGGGGGGAGUACGGCCGCAAGGCUAAAACUCAAAGGAAUUGACGGGGGCCCGCACAAGCGGCGGAGCAUGCGGAUUAAUUCGAUGCAACGCGAAGAACCUUACCUAGGUUUGACAUCACCCGGAAACCUCUAGAGAUAGAGGCCUCUUCGGACUGGGUGACAGGUGGUGCAUGGCUGUCGUCAGCUCGUGUCGUGAGAUGUUGGGUUAAGUCCCGCAACGAGCGCAACCCUUAUCCCGUGUUGCCAGCAUUCAGUUGGGGACUCACGGGAGACUGCCGGGGUUAACUCGGAGGAAGGUGGGGAUGAGGUCAAGUCAUCAUGCCCCUUAUGUCUAGGGCUUCACGCAUGCUACAUUGGCCGGUACAGCGGGUUGCGAUACCGUGAGGUGGAGCGAAUCCCUGUAAAGCCGGUCAAGGUUCGGAUUGGAGUUGACAACUCGUCUGUAAGAAG